rnacentral:lncRNA from 1 species
ACAUACAUUUUCUUGUGCAUGUGACCUUUGAUUGUCCUUAAAUCCAUUUCCAAUUGCAAUUCAGCUGUGUUUGAACAUAGUCCUCCAGCAAGGAAGGCUGAAGAACAUAGACCCCAGAACACCUCAUCUCUUUUAUUACUCUUGUGGAAGUUUUGAGUUAUAAUAAGUGCCAAGAAUUUGGAUCCUCAUUUGCUGGUAUGUCUGCAUCACUGCUAAUAAUUUCCUGUGUACCUUUUCCAGUGAAGAAUGGGGUACAUAUAAUAACUGCCGUUACAGAUACAGGCAGCUCUUUGUGGUACUAAAUGCAGCAGUUAAUGCUAAUGAGUCUAUCCUUAGCAAGUAAUACUAUUGGUGUUAUGCUAACGCCUCACCACAUGCAAAGCUUCAGUUUGUUAAGCAGAUGCCAGUGUUAACAGCCAAAUUCUCUUCCCAUGGAUAAGUUAGUGUUAGUUAAAUGUACCAUUAAAAAUAACCAUUUAAAAUGUUAAUGAAAACAGAGAUUUUGUGUGCCAGGGUAUUGCUGCCUUACCUUCAGUCUGGGCUUCCAUGCGCACAGAACGGGACCUUGGCUCUGCCAUGACCCUGUCCUGCAGAGAAGCCACCACCAGACAGACUCGGAGCAGAGACAAGGCAGGGUACGCAAGGAAGGGAGGGGAAGCGAAGGAACAUCACCUCCUUUUCACGUUUAUUUCAUUUUUGUAUUUUUUUGUAUUUUUUUUUUUAAGAUCACAGAAGAGCAGAGCAUUCAUACAUGUAAAGAAACAGAAACAAGAUAACAGAAGUUAAAUACAUUGAGAAAAGAAAAAAUAAAAAGCUUCUUUUUUUUUGUUUUCAUCACUGGGUUUGGCUCAUUCAUUGGUUGGGUGGUUUCAUUUCUGAUCGGUUCCGUUACACACACACUUGCGCUUUUAGAGUUGCCUUUCACAGAGCUAGUUCCAAAAACAAACCAAUGGCGAAAAAUAAAAUGGCCCUUUUCUCAUUUUGUUAAAGAGAAGUUCAGCUCAUGUCUACAGUGCUGGGGAAAAAAUAUAUAUAAAGAUAUAGAUAUAUAUAUAUAUUUAUAUGUAUAUAACACUGUUAAUGAGGAGAGUUCUAACCACCCCGCCGUGCAGCUAGAAGGGACUGGCCUUUGUUCACAAGGUCUAGAGGAUGAAACUUGGCUCCAGCUGGGAGAGCUGAAAGGUUUGCGGGUGACGGUGGCCCCGCAGGGCAGGCACUCGCCCUCUGCCCCCCUCCUCCCUGUCCUUGCACACAUGUGUGCUCCCGCACUUGCAGGGCUGGAGUAGCACUCCUGCUGCCCAGCUCCUUCCAGAAAGACUUGCCUUCACCCUCCGCUUGGCCAUCCAAAAGGGUUUGAAAUCUGCUAGCAAGUACGGGGCCAUAUAUUAAAUCUAAGUCUUUGUUCCUCUGCUUGGACAUUACCAGACAUUUCAUGUAACUCUUGGAAUAUUUACAAACCGGUAGAAGAAAUACAAUUUUUUUUUUCCAUUUCGUUCGCUUCUUUUUAUAACACUAAAUGUUAAAUCUCCAUUGACCAAACACAAUUACACUGACAAGCUCAAGGAACUGGUGUCCUGUUCCGAACCCCCCUCUCCAGUCCCAAGGCAGACAAGAGGCAGUGGGAGGCAAGAGCACAGCUAUCUGCAGGGGAUGGGGAGGCAGGAACAUGAAUGCGGGGGAAGAGAGCUCCAGAGGAAAGGGCCUGAGAUAUGGCCAAAGGGCAAGAAAGGGAGAGCAGCUGACCUUGUGUUUCUCAUAUUCAUCUGAGCUCUUGUCUUGGCAGAUGCUCUGAGUAAUUCCUGCUAGAGUUCAGGGGGAAUGGGGUGUCUGCAGCACCCAUGCAGCACGCCUGGGGUAGGUCUGCUAUAAGCCUGCCUCACAGCCAUGCAACCAAGAUGUGGAUCUGUGCACAUCCUGCAGGAAAGACCUGAAACCAGCAUCGAGGUUGUGGCUGUUCCCUCCAGUGAAGAAGCAGAUGGCUUCAGAAAUUGGGUGUCCUGCUUUUAGUAACAUAUUUCUCUUUAAACCAAAAGCCUCUGUGCUUUCUUCAAAAAAAUAAUAAUCCCCUCAAAACUCUUCAAAACACCCAAAACCAUGAGGAUGCAGGACACGAGCACCACCCCAACAGGGCUCUGACCUGUGCAGGACAAGAUACAGGACAGACCUUACAGUGACCAACAGGCUGCCAUGGAAGAGAACCCUCAACCUAAACAAGGACUUAACCCAGCCCUGAGGAGCAGCCUGGUGACAGCAGAUCCAGGGGGAGCCAGACAUGCUGGCCAUGUG